rnacentral:rRNA from 1 species
UACGUAGGGGCCGAGCGUUGUCCGGAGUUACUGGGCGUCAAGCGCGCGCAGGCGGCGCAUCGCGCCCGGCGUGAAAGCCCCCGGCUCAACCGGGGAGGGUCGUCGGGGACGGGUGCGCUUGAGGACGGCAGGGGCAGGUGGAAUUCCCGGUGUAGUGGUGAAAUGCGUAGAGAUCGGGAAGAACACCCGUGGCGAAGGCGGUUCUCUGGGACGGUACUGACGCUGAGACGCGAAAGCGUGGGGAGCGAACAGG